CACACACACACACACACACACACACAUGUGGUUGAUCUGUUUUUUUUUUUUAUUUCCUAGUAAGACUCAUAGUAUUUUACAAUGGGCAUGACUUCAUCAGAGGCCUCUGAAGCUGAGGUGCCAGUGAAUCCAUGCAGCUGUUGGGGCCACAUCAAAGAACGGGAGAAAUGUCCAUAAUUCUCAAAUCCCCAUUUAUGUAUAGGGUUACAUUUGAGUUAAAAGCAGAACUUUUGGGCUGUUUGAUGUGUUCCUGAUAUGUUCAACAGACAGAGCGUCUGGAGAACUCCACUCCGUAUUUGACAUCUGCCGAGCAGCCGCCCCAUUUCCAUCCCUCUUCCUGGUCAUGGUAGCCCUGCUUUUCUCUGUCACAGCCGCAGUGGCUCAGAUUGCCCUGACUACAGGCUGCUGUCACAGCGUGGGCAACACCUGCUGCCGUGAUGGCGUAGGUAAACGCAGCCUCCUUGCUACCUAGGAAGAAAAGAGUUGAACCUCCUGAGAUGAUCUGACACCAUUGGCACCCCAAAGUUCAUGCCAUGAUAGAACUAAACUCUGCAGGGAUGUAAAUCUCCAGGAGCACGACUGAGCACUCCUGAUCUCGAGAUUGCUGUAAGGAGACUAAACUGACCCCUGCUGGUCGGCCUUUAUGAAAAGAGGGCCACACUCUCACGGAAACAAAUUGCAGCCAAAGCAACACAUGCACACACACAAGAACAGAUCUCAGGGCUGUACCUACUGACCUACUCUCAGCUCUUGCCCAAAGACGGUCCUCUCGCCAAGGGCAGAGCAGUUCCAUCGUCCGUAGCGAAACUGAUAGUGGCACUCGUUGACGCCCAGCUGAGCGCCUUCCCCAAUGAUGAUGAUGGCAUCUGGGCGGCUCUGGCAGAUGGCGCGCUGUCUGGGGGCCAGGCCAGGGAUUUUGUUGCAGAUGAUGUUCGCACCCAAAGCCACGACUGAAGAAAAAGCCCUUUGGAGGAGACCAGGUAUAUUGAUGUCAACAGCUGAUAUAGACCAGGUAUUCAAGAAAUGGGGACCCAAAAAUGAACAUUUGAUUGGAGCCAAAAUCUGCAGCGCAUUGACCCUCCAAAGCAAAUUUGAGGAACCCUGCUUUACUAUAUGAAAAAAUUUAAGAACAUCUCAUGACUCAUUUAAAACAGAACGACAAACUCAAAGUUCAUGAAACAAAGCUUUUACAGGCAAGUGUGGAAAUGAACUUGAUAAUAAUGUCCCAAAUCAUGUCUAAACAGAUGAGCAGACCAACCAUACACUAUUCUACAUAUAAAGACCAUACACAACAAUACGAUCGCAAAAUAUACAGCCCAAUUAAAGUGAAACUACACAAAAUUGUAACCCCAGUGUUAGUCUAUUGAGUCUAUUGAUCAAGUGAACAUGAUUCAGAAAUAUAUUGACCUUUUUUUCUGACAUAGUGGGAGAUGUUCGUACUAAUGACCAGAAGAUGAAGUGUCCUAAUGUCGUGAUACAAAUUUGGAAUAAACCCAUUUGAGCCAAGAAAGACAAAUUUGAGAGGAGCUACCAAAACUAGAGUGUCCAUUCAUCAGUCAUAAUUAAUAGUUUUGCAUUCUUGUUCUUGUAACAAGAAUGUUAUUUAAUAGCAUCUGAACACAGGGAAACUUUAAAAGUCAUCUUCAUAGGUCUGGUCUGAGGAAAAUCCAUGAAGAAUAUUUUGGGCUCUAAAUAGUCCACAGGCUUCUAAAUUAACUAAGAAUCAGAGAACAAUGUGUAAAUUUGACAAGACUCGGACUCAAAGCUUUAAAUAAUGAUUAUGAAAGAGUGACCAGAAUCUAUAUAAAGCACAUUUAUGGUCUACACAUGUGUGGCUCAGUAAUUUCUCCAAAGGCUGAACUUUAGUGCAAAUAAAAGGUUCUCUUUUCCAGCCACAUCUCGCACA